AGCGAAGAGAGUUUGGCGCGAUGUCUCACACCAUUUUGCUGGUACAGCCUACUAAGAGGCCAGAAGGGAGAACUUAUGCUGACUACGAAUCUUUGAAUGAAUGCAUGGAAGGUGUUUGUAAAAUGUAUGAAGAACAUCUGAAAAGAAUGAAUCCCAACAGUCCCUCUAUCACAUAUGACAUCAGUCAGUUGUUUGAUUUCAUCGAUGAUCUGGCAGACCUCAGCUGCCUGGUUUACCGAGCUGAUACCCAGACAUACCAGCCUUAUAACAAAGACUGGAUUAAAGAGAAGAUCUACGUGCUCCUUCGUCGGGAGGCCCCACAGGCUGGGAAAUAAUUGUGUUGGAAGCACUGGGGGGGUUGGGGUGGGCUUGGAACACAGGUGUGUACAGCGUGCUGUAGUGGAAGUUUUGUAUCAUAGUAAUCCUGUUUCCACUUUGUUAUACUCUAGCCAAGAUUGACUGUAUUGGAUGAAAUGUGAGGAUCUUGUUCAAUUGGAAACCCCCGUUACCCUCUCUUUUUUUCUUUUCUUUUUUUUUUUUACUUAAACAUUUUUAUGAUGAUUUAGAUGAAAGUUGUUCUUCGUCAGUUAAUGUUGGUUCCAGUCCUUCAACUGUUCAUAUCUACUUUAUAACAUUCAUGUACUAACCCUUCUUCAAGAUGGGGUGGGGGGUGGAAAUGCAGUUUAGCCAUGUCCUCAAGAUAAAGUCUUGGUAAAAAUAAAUAAAUGUCCUUUAGUUAUAAAAAAAAAAA